GCCACUGUGGGCUCUGGUUCUGGGAAGCUCGGCUGCCACCUGCAAGCCCAGAUCUGCGGUGCCAUAAAGGACUCUGGUUAAACUUGAAAGCCAAUACUAUCGCUGAGCGAUUGACAAACCGUAUUCGCUGGUUAAAUUUGUUCCAUUUUCCAUAAAGUGGUGGGGGUGGGAGUGGGGCUAAGGUGUGGCUUUUAGGCUUUCUCGUGUUGCUGCACACCUAUUGUUUGUCAAAAUUACUCUAUCAAUAUCAGAAUAAUUUUCGAGCUGAAGAGAACUUAGAGCUUUUUCUUUGAACUCAUCAUGUAUGGGGCUAGAGAGACACUUUUCCUGUGUCGUAGAGGGUUGCACAGUCUGCGUCGUGAUGGCCCCUCGGAAACCUUGAAGAGAAGGAUUACAGAGUUGCAGAAGACGAGGAAAAAGAAGAAUCCCAAGAAGGACGAGUUGUUUGUGGAGGUUCCUGAAUCAAAAUCUUUCCUUGACACAGCAACUAUGCCAAUGAUUCUCACUGUUGUUGGUACUGCCCUUGUUGCAAAGCUCCUCAUGAUGUAUGAUGACUCAAAAUCCCAAGAAAUGAUUGAGCGCAAAAUAAAGAAUGCUCCUUCUGGUCAAGGCACCGUUAGGAUGCUUACACGUGAGGAAUGGGAGAAAAUUCGGGAGGUCAGGCCAAGGACACCUUUUGAAUCCAAGCUCGCUCGUCCAAAUGCACGAAUAAGAACUGGAGAACCAUUGCGCAUGCAAGAUCUGAAGGAUUGGACAAUUGAUGUGCUAACAGAUGCACUCACACGCGUUGAAGGAAGUGUUAAAAGCAACUCAUGACUACUUGUGCUUUUUUGGGUGGUGGGGAGUGAGUAUGAUUUAUCGAAAGGCCUUUUACUAUUUUGAUUUCUAAUGUACACGACUGCAAUGGUUUCUUAUUGUUGGUGAAAAUGUGAAUAAAAUCGUAUGGUGCCCUAUUAAUAUUAUCUGCCAUCUGUUGAUGUAUCCCUUAACAUAUU
rnacentral:misc_RNA from 1 species